AUUGAACGCUGGCGGAAUGCUUUACACAUGCAAGUCGAACGGUAGAGGGGGCAACCCCCUUGAGAGUGGCGAACGGGUGAGUAAUAUAUCGGAACGUGCCCAGUCGUGGGGGAUAACGUAGCGAAAGUUACGCUAAUACCGCAUACGAUCUACGGAUGAAAGCAGGGGACCGCAAGGCCUUGCGCUCAUGGAGCGGCCGAUGGCAGAUUAGGUAGUUGGUGGGGUAAAGGCUCACCAAGCCAACGAUCUGUAGCUGGUCUGAGAGGACGACCAGCCACACUGGGACUGAGACACGGCCCAGACUCCUACGGGAGGCAGCAGUGGGGAAUAUUGGGCAAUGGGCGCAAGCCUGACCCAGCCAUGCCGCGUGCAGGAAGAAGGCGUUAUGCGUUGUAAACUGCUUUUAUACAGGAAGAAACGACCCUUAGCGAGGGGCAUUGACGGUACUGUAUGAAUAAGCACCGGCUAACUCCGUG
rnacentral:rRNA from 1 species